GCCUUUCAAAAAAUUAUUUCGUGCAGGAUGCUAUUUUCGUGGCGAAACCCAUACUCAAGAGCUCAUGCGUCUUCUUGAUUACUGUAGAUGUUUGGCAACUUAUUUUUACAUAAAAACGUUUUCAUUCAUUAUUUCCAUCAUUCAUUUAUCUUUCUGUGUUUUUAGUUAGUUUUAGCUAGUUUUUUUCUAAAUUCCUAACUUUAAAAAAUCUGGAAAAGAAAA
ensembl:ncRNA C17H12.33 ncRNA